GGAAUAUUGGGCAAUGGGAGAAAUCCUGACCCAGCGACGCCGCGUGAAUGAUGAAGGCCUUCGGGUCGUAAAGUUCUUUUAUGUGAGAAGAAACAAAUGACGGUAUCACAUGAAUAAGCCCCGGCUAACUACGUGCCAGCAGCCGCGGUAAUACGUAGGGGGCGAGCGUUGUUCGGAAUUACUGGGCGUAAAGGGCGCGCAGGCUGUUAAUCAAGUCAGCUGUUAAAUCGUGCGGCUUAACCGUAUGAUGCAGUUGAAACUGUUUAACUGGAGUAUCGGAGAGGUAAGCGGAAUUCCCAGUGUAGCGGUGAAAUGCGUAGAUAUUGGGAAGAACAUCGGUGGCGAAGGCGGCUUACUGGCCGAAAACUGACGCUGAGGCGCGAAAGCCAGGGUAGCAAACG
rnacentral:rRNA from 1 species